GAUGAACGCUGGCGGCGUGCCUAAUACAUGCAAGUCGAGCGAACAGACGAGGUGCUUGUUCCUCUGACGUUAGCGGCGGACGGGUGAGUAACACGUGGAUAACCUACCUAUAAGACUGGGACAACUUCGGGAAACCGGAGCUAAUACCGGAUAACAUGUUGAACCGCAUGGUUCAACAGUGAAAGACGGUCUUGCUGUCACUUAUAGAUGUAUCCGCGCCUCUUUAGCUAGUUGGUAAGUUAACGGCUUACCAAGGCAACGUUGCGUAGCCACCCUGAGAGGGUGAUCGGCCACACUGGAACUGAGACACGGUCCAGACUCCUACGGGAGGAAGCAGUAGGGAAUCUUCCGCAAUGGGCGAAAGCCUGACGGAGAAACGCCGCGUGAGUGAGGAAGGUCUUCGGAUCGUAAAACUCUGUUAUUAGGGAAGAACAAAUGUGUAAGUAACUAUGCACGUCUUGACGGUACCUAAUCAGAAAGCCACGGCUAACUACGUG
rnacentral:rRNA from 1 species